UAUCCUGUCUGAAUAUGGGGGGACCAUCCUCCAAGGCUAAAUACUCCUGACUGACCGAUAGUGAACCAGUACCGUGAGGGAAAGGCGAAAAGAACCCCGGCGAGGGGAGUGAAAAAGAACCUGAAACCGUGUACGUACAAGCAGUGGGAGCCCCACCACUAAGCCAGUGGUGAACUCCACAUCCGCAUCCUUUGCUGAGGAUACGGUUAACGGAGCGAAAGCGACGUUCAACCGCAAAACAAGCAGAGGGGGCUUAGUGGUGGGGUGACUGCGUACCUUUUGUAUAAUGGGUCAGCGACUUAUAUUCUGUAGCAAGGUUAACCGAAUAGGGGAGCCGGAGGGAAACCGAGUCUUAAUUGGGCGUUAAGUUGCAGGGUAUAGACCCGAAACCCGGUGAUCUAGCCAUGGGCAGGUUGAAGGUUGGGUAACACUAACUGGAGGACCGAACCGACUAAUGUUGAAAAAUUAGCGGAUGACCUGUGGCUGGGGGUGAAAGGCCAAUCAAACCGGGAGAUAGCUGGUUCUCCCCGAAAGCUAUUUAGGUAGCGCCUCGUGAAUUCAUCUCCGGGGGUAGAGCACUGUUUCGGCUAGGGGGCCAUCCCGGCUUACCAACCCGAUGCAAACUGCGAAUACCGGAGAAUGUUAUCACGGGAGACACACGGCGGGUGCUAACGUCCGUCGUGAAGAGGGAAACAACCCAGACCGCCAGCUAAGGUCCCAAAGUCAUGGUUAAGUGGGAAACGAUGUGGGAAGGCCCAGACAGCCAGGAUGUUGGCUUAGAAGCAGCCAUCAUUUAAAGAAAGCGUAAUAGCUCACUGGUCGAGUCGGCCUGCGCGGAAGAUGUAACGGGGCUAAACCAUGCACCGAAGCUGCGGCAGCGAACGUAUCACCCAAGACAACUUUACGGAGUUGACGAUUGACGGAGCGAAGCGACGUCAAAGCGUUCAUUAAAGUCGAGUUGGCUUAGGGAUACGUUCGUUGGGUAGGGGAGCGUUCUGUAAGCCUGUGAAGGUGUGUCGUGAGGCAUGCUGGAGGUAUCAGAAGUGCGAAUGCUGACAUAAGUAACGAUAAAGCGGGUGAAAAGCCCGCUCGCCGGAAGACCAAGGGUUCCUGUCCAACGUUAAUCGGGGCAGGGUGAGUCGACCCCUAAGGCGAGGCCGAAAGGCGUAGUCGAUGGGAAACGGGUUAAUAUUCCCGUACUUGGUGUUACUGCGAAGGGGGGACGGAGAAGGCUAUGUUGGCCGGGCGACGGUUGUCCCGGUUUAAGCGUGUAGGUGUGUGUUCCAGGUAAAUCCGGUUCACUUUAACACUGAGGCGUGACGACGAGGCACUACGGUGCUGAAGCAACAAAUGCCCUGCUUCCAGGAAAA
rnacentral:rRNA from 1 species